rnacentral:rRNA from 1 species
GACGAACGCCGGCGGCGUGCUUAACACAUGCAAGUCGAACGGUAAGGCCCCAGCUUGCUGGGGUACACGAGUGGCGAACGGGUGAGUAACACGUGGGUGACCUGCCCCGCACUUCGGGAUAAGCCUGGGAAACUGGGUCUAAUACCGGAUAGGACCGCACCGUUCGGGUGUGGUGGAAAGUUUUUCGGUGUGGGAUGGGCCCGCGGCCUUUCAGCUUGUUGGUGGGGUAAUGGCCUACCAAGGCGGCGACGGGUAGCCGGCCUGAGAGGGUGGACGGCCACAUUGGGACUGAGACCCGGCCCAGACUCCUACGGGAGGCAGCAGUGGGGAAUAUUGCACAAUGGGCGGAAGCCUGAUGCAGCGACGCCGCGUGGGGGAUGACGGCCUUCGGGUUGUAAACUCCUUUCACCAUCGACGAAGGUUUUCUGACGGUAGAUGGAGAAGAAGCACCGGCUAACUACGUG